UUCGAGAGGUCCAAGCGUUAGUCGGAAUCACUGGGCUUAAAGGGUGCGUAGGCGGGCCAGUAAGUGUCUCGUGAAAUCCCAUGGCUCAACCAUGGAACUGCGGGGCAUACUGCUGGUCUUGAGGAAGCUAGAGGCCGGCGGAACGAUAGGUGGAGCGGUGGAAUGCGUAGAUAUCUAUCGGAACGCCAGAGGUGAAGACAGCCGGCUGGGGCUUUCCUGACGCUCAGGCACGAAAGCGUGGGGAUCAAACAGG
rnacentral:rRNA from 1 species